rnacentral:rRNA from 1 species
GUCUACGGCCAUGCCACCCUGAACAUGCCCGAUCCAGGCUGAUCUCAGAAGCUAAGCAGGGUUGGGCCUGGUUAAUACUUGGAUGGGAGACCACCUAGGAAGACCAGGUGCUAUAGGCG